CCUGGGACCGCUCUCAGCCCCUUCGGCCUCUACCUGAAGAGCCACGCCCCGUCUGCUACACCCAACUGAUUGGUUCCUCAAUCACAGAGAGGAAAGGCAACAUGAGGAUGACGUCAGUUACAAAUAUGGCGUUUUGGACGGGCUCGAUAGUUUGCUUGGCCUCUACUCAAGGAAUGCUGAUGGUAUAGCAAGAAGGUAUUCUGAGCAUUAUAUCAAUGGGGAAGUUCUAGAUCUUUUGCAAAGCAGGAGCAAGCUGCCCUGUUGUGAGCUCUCCGGUGGAGAGCCCCACAUGGCAAGAAAAUGAGAAGCCCCCUGAACAGACAAGAGCUGAGGCCCAGGAUACAAUAUCCUGAAAAAAACUGAAUCCUGCUGACAGUUGCCCAAGUGAAGCUGGAAGUGGAUCUUUCUGCAGUGGAUCCUUGAGAUGACUGUAGCCCUGGCUGACAACUUGAUUGCUGCCUGUGAAGGACCCUGAACCAGAGGACUCAGCGAAAUUGUGCCCAGAUUCCUGACCUACAGAGGCAGUGAGAUAAUAAAUGCUGUUGAGGUCACAAAGUUUUGAGAGUCAUCCUAGGGCAUCCAGAGGCCUUCAGGGUGGCCUGAAGUCUCC
rnacentral:lncRNA from 1 species